rnacentral:rRNA from 1 species
AGCCAGACUCCUACGGGAGGCAGCAGUGGGGGAUAUUGCGCAAUGGGGGAAACCCUGAUGCAGCGACGCCGCGUGAGCGAUGAAGUAUUUCGGUAUGUAAAGCUCUAUCAGCAGGGAAGAAGAUGACGGUACCUGACUAAGAAGCCCCGGCUAACUACGUGCCAGCAGCCGCGGUAAUACGUAGGGGGCAAGCGUUAUCCGGAUUUACUGGGUGUAAAGGGAGCGUAGACGGCGAUGCAAGCCAGAUGUGAAAGCCCGGGGCUCAACCCCGGGACUGCAUUUGGAACUGUGUGGCUGGAGUGUCGGAGAGGCAGGCGGAAUUCCUAGUGUAGCGGUGAAAUGCGUAGAUAUUAGGAGGAACACCAGUGGCGAAGGCGGCCUGCUGGACGAUGACUGACGUUGAGGCUCGAAAGCGUGGGGAGCAAACAGGAUUAGAUACCCGGGUA